ACGCCCGCCAGCAGCCUUCCGAGCUCCUCGUCGUUGCGGAUGGCGAGGAGAACGUGCCGCGGGAUGAUGCGGUUCUUCUUGUUGUCGCGCGCCGCGUUGCCGGCGAGCUCGAGAACCUCGGCGGCGAGAUACUCGAGGACGGCGGCGAGGUAGACGGGGGCGCCACUGCCCACGCGCUGCGCAUACCGGCCCUUCUUGAGGUAGCGCCCGAUGCGGCCGACGGGGAACUGAAGCCCGGCCUUGACGGAGCGCGAGACCGGCUUCUUCUUCGGGCCGCCGAGCUUGCGGCCGACCGCCGCCUUCUUCACCUUCGCGGCCCCGCCGUCCAUCUCCGAGGGGUUUGGGGGUGGGGUGGAUUUGGAGGGAAUUCGGUUUUGGGUUUGGGAGGAAGCGAGGGAGAUGGGAUUCGACUUUUGG
rnacentral:lncRNA from 1 species